rnacentral:rRNA from 1 species
ACGUACACUCCUACGGGAGGCAGCAGUGGGGAAUAUUGCACAAUGGGCGCAAGCCUGAUGCAGCCAUGCCGCGUGUGUGAAGAAGGCCUUCGGGUUGUAAAGCACUUUCAGCGGGGAGGAAGGCAAUGCGGUUAAUAACCGUGUUGAUUGACGUUACCCGCAGAAGAAGCACCGGCUAACUCCGUGCCAGCAGCCGCGGUAAUACGGAGGGUGCAAGCGUUAAUCGGAAUUACUGGGCGUAAAGCGCACGCAGGCGGUCUGUCAAGUCGGAUGUGAAAUCCCCGGGCUCAACCUGGGAACUGCAUUCGAAACUGGCAGGCUUGAGUCUUGUAGAGGGGGGUAGAAUUCCAGGUGUAGCGGUGAAAUGCGUAGAGAUCUGGAGGAAUACCGGUGGCGAAGGCGGCCCCCUGGACAAAGACUGACGCUCAGGUGCGAAAGCGUGGGGAGCAAACAGGAUUAGAAACCCGAGUAGUCCCAUGAU